UACGUAGGGGGCUAGCGUUGUCCGGAAUCAUUGGGCGUAAAGCGCGUGUAGGCGGUCCGGUAAGUCCGCUGUGAAAGUCGGGGGCUCAACCCUCGAAUGCCGGUGGAUACUGUCGGGCUAGAGUGCGGAAGAGGCGAGUGGAAUUCCUGGUGUAGCGGUGAAAUGCGCAGAUAUCAGGAGGAACACCAAUUGCGAAGGCAGCUCGCUGGGACGUUACUGACGCUGAGGCGCGAAAGCCAGGGGAGCGAACGGG
rnacentral:rRNA from 1 species